CUCUCCCUCAAACGCAAACGUAUCUCUCUCUGUCGUUCCCCCCACUCCUCUUCUACCUGUGGCUCUGCUACCCCAAACAAAUUCUAUUCUACAAAAAAAACAGAAUCGCCGCAUCCAAAAAAAAAAAACACAGAGCCGCGAAACGUCGAGACAGAGAUAGCAAUUUGAUUUUGAGGGUCCUUCACCAUUCUCUUUGAUUUUCGGGUUGUGGCCUACUUCCUCUCAAAAGUUUCUUUGCAGAGAUGAAGUGGAAUACUCUAAUUUCAUCACAGCAAAGACCCCAGCUUCUUUUCCAAUUUCCUCCUUUAGUAACCCACGGAUUAUUUUCUGCUUUCUGUUAUGCACAGCGAAAGACCAAAUCUAUAUAGUUUAGAAGCUGUCUGCAAAUCCCAGCAAUAGCAAAGUGAAAAGGUAGAGCUAUUUAAGAUAGAAAUUAUGAGAAAAUUUUACUAAUGAUAGAAGAUUUUCUGUUGUGAUUAUUUAAUGCAAAUUGUUGGUAUGGGUUGCAGGGAAAAGAAAGCUAUGAGUAAUGGACAUAGACAUGAGUUAUUAAAACACUAAACAAUUGUAUCUUUUUGGUGGUUUGCUAUUGUACUUGCUACAUGCAAUGAGAAUUACUAUAGUUCACAAUCGAAUGAGUUUUACCAUAGUUAACAAAUGAGUUUCUUUUGGAACAUCUGACUCCUCCUGCCAACAGUUUGAAGCCAUGUCAUAUCAUGUACAACAAUGAAGAUGACAAUGGGAGAGAUAUUUUCCAAAGAUUAUAUUGAAAUUUUAUUGUUUAAUAGAUUGUGCUGAUUUUUUUUUC